rnacentral:ncRNA from 1 species
ACACGACAAAGGCAAACUUAUUGGAAGAUUAGGGCGCAAAGGCACAGGUCUAAGGUUUAGCGACUACGAUGGCUGGUCUGCCUGA